rnacentral:rRNA from 1 species
AUUAGCUAGUUGGCGAGGUAAUGGCCUCCAAGUCGNGAUCUAUAGCUGGUCUGAGAGGAUGAUCAGCCACACUGGGACUGAGACACGGCCCAGACUCCUACGGGAGGCAGCAGUGGGGAAUAUUGGACAAUGGGCGAAAGCCUGAUCCAGCAAUGCCGNGUGAGUGAUGAAGGUUUUAGGGUUGUAAAGCUGUUUUACCAGGCAUGAUAAUGCCCGCAC